rnacentral:rRNA from 1 species
ACUCAAAUGAAUAGACGGGGGCCCGCACAAGCGGAGGAACAUGUGGUUUAAUUCGAUGAUACGCGAGGAACCUUACCCGGGCUCGAACGGCAGAAUAAUAUAGGAGAGAUUUUAUAGCCGCAAGGAUUCUGUCGAGGUGCUGCAUGGUUGUCGUCAGCUCGUGCCGUGAGGUGUCGGCUUAAGUGCCAUAACGAGCGCAACCCUUGUCGUUAGUUACCAUCAGGUUAUGCUGGGGACUCUAGCGAGACUGCCGCCGUAAGGUGUGAGGAGGGGGGGGAUGACGUCAAAUCAGCACGGCCCUUACGUCCGGGGCGACACACGUGUUACAAUGGCAGGUACAGAGGGGCGCUAUACAGUGAUGUUAUGCGAAUCUCGAAAUCCUGUCUCAGUUCGGAUUGGAGUCUGCAACUCGACUUCAUGAAGUUGGAUUCGCUAGUAAUCGCGCAUCAGCCAUGGCGCGGUGAAUACGUUCCCGGGCCUUGUACACACCGCCCGU